UUCCCAGCAGCAAAUUUGGGUUGUGUUUGUGCCUCCUGUCCUCUCCCAGGGGAAGAGCCUGAGGAGGGACCCAAGGAAAAGAAGAGGUUGGCUUGUUGCAAAUUGCUGCCAGGAAACUGUCAGUCUUCUAACCUAACAUCAGUUCUUAUCAGAGAAACCCUGGGAAGGAUGGACCUGCACGGCAAACAAUUAAUUGCCUUCUUUCCUGUCAAGUCUCACGAUGUCAAGCCUCCCUGCAAACCUUGAGCUGGACACAGGGAAAGUGGAUAGAGAACUGGGCUCCAAUGGCCGCCUGCUUCCCAGCCUUCUGAACCCAGGAGAUAGACUAGUGGCUGUGCCGUCUCCAGGUGGUGGCAAAUCUGAAGUCAGUAAAGGCAUUGCUUGGAGAAGUAAAUGGCAACGCAUUCCAGUAUUCUUAUCUGAAAAAUCCCGUGGACAGGGGGGUCCCGAAGACUUGGACACAACUGAGCAUGCAUGCAGCUUAUGAAUAACGAACCUGGGCAAUGAUAUCCCAGAGAAGAGUCCUCAAGUUCCCACACAUCCAAAUGAGCAUAAAGUCCAGUCUCUCAGAUCCCUCUCCCUUGUUUGUGCAGGAAUUCACAAGUAGUUCAGUUCAGUUCAGUUCAGUUCAGUCGCUCAGUUGUGUCCAACUCUUUGCGACCCCAUGAAUCGCAGCAUGCCAAGUGGUUACCAGUGUCCAAAUGAUGAAUCCUGCUGUGUAUCUCUUUGAUUUUGCUGGGGUCAGAAUUUAAGAGCAUGUAUUUUGGGACUGGACAAUGGUACAAUGGGAAUCAGAAUGUGUACUAAUGCCACCAGGUGUCAUGAUGUCUUUACAAAAGGCUGCACCUGUUCCUUCAUGAGUGACCUUGAUAAAGAAAUGUGCUAGAGGAGAAAGAGUCAAGGGCAGAACUUCUGUGUCUGCAGGGAUGUAGUCAGGCUGGCAUUUUGCUCCUGCUCCCGCUGCACAUGUCAGAGUAGACGGUUGCUCAGGCCACCAAUUAUUUUAGAGGAAUUAGUUUCUCCUUUCCUGGGUCAGACCCAACCAAAGUCAAGGCAUCUCAAGUAAGUAUGGCCUCCUUCUAUCAAAUAGUGCUGUCAGGUAUCUGUUCUGAAGCAGUGUCAUAACAAGGGUCCCAUUUGAAACCCCAUGGGUAAGGCUUCUGGAUGUUGCUAGAUCACUGAACCCCACUCUGAUCAGACUUUGAGGCUCCACUCACAAUUUCUCUAGGACACCAACUGGCGCCAAAAUGGCUGCACCAGAACAGGUUCCCGGCCACCCACCUAAUAUCCCACAUCAACAUUCCAUUUUCGCUUCCCCAAAGUCAGUGCAGGGACCACUUGGACAUCCUCAAAGUAACUUGAUUUUCCAAGAAGCUCGUUUUUCUUUCUUGAUCUACCCCAAACUGUCUCCCUAACUUUGAAUCUGAAAUGAAGAACCAAAUGUAUCCCUCCAUUUCCUCCUUUCUGCAAGAUUCUGAGUUACUUAUGCAAAAUCUUCUCCUCUCUGCCUUUCAAUGCAUACUGGAGCAAGCAGCCUGCUGCCCCCCUCACAAGCUUGCCCACACACACAAAUACACACACACAUCAACCCCUGACACAAAAAUUCUUGUACAACCUUAUAUUUAUAUUUAUAUAAUGAGCACUGUUUCAUAAUAGAAAUAUUUUUCAAUAUGUGGAGAUAGUGGAAUUUUUAAGUGGCAGGUUCUUUUUAUGAACAAGCCCUCCUUAUCAGAUAGUCAACAUAUAUGUGUUGCUUGACUGACUGGCUUACACAUGUGUGGAUGAAAAGAAGAAACUCCUAAGGAUUUUUAGGAUAACUGGAAGAAAGCAGAGCUCAUAUAAUGGGGACUCAUUUAAGGAAGAUAAUUUGGGUUGCAAAGGGGUGGGGCGAGGAAUUUGUUUCCAUCCAUACUGAUAGCCAGAAUGUGAAGAAUUCAAGAAAAUUAGUUACAUUUGUUACUCAGGAAAGGGCACAGUCCACUGGGGUACAGGGCCCAGGAAUGGUGACCUAACUGAUUCCGGGAGGAGUCCUGGAAGCACAUUCUCCUGGAAGGGUUAAUAAGCUGCCAAAUGGUUCACCUUCUUCAGCACUCUCUCCUCCCCCAAGUUAGAAGAUAUAAAUCAUUGACCAUCAGGAUAAUGAGAAGCAGAUUGGCCUCUGCUAAUUUCUGGGAUGUGGCAGGUCUUUAGAAAAAGCCUCAUAAGGCUUUGCUGAUCACUAUGAGCCCUACCGCCUUGAGAGAGGACACAUGUGGGAUGCAGACCAGGGAAUGUGGGUUCCAGCCUGGCGGAUGCUGCAGGGGAGGGUGACGCUGCACAGAUACCUGUAAACCAUCACAGGCCUGGGAAAUGAGGACCCUCCUGCCUUUAAUUUGAAUAUCAGGGCUGAGGACAAGGGAAAUGUUUCCCAACCUUCUGGGCAGUCUAACUGCAUACAUCCUUCCCUAAGACUGAGGCUGAGCCAUCCUUUGGCUAUCUGUCUCCCUGUAUUUUGGAUAGUGGCUGAUCAGAACCUAGAGUCUUCCCUGAAUCAGUAGCUAAGUUGAAAUGGCUAGGGAUGCAAAGAAACAAAAAGUGAGUGCAAAAGUCUGCUUCAUGAAAAAUUAUGUUACUCUAAACUAGAAGGGAAAAAACAAGGAGAAAGAAAGCUUCCUGAAGAAAGACCUGCCUCUAGGUUCUGCCUCUAGGAAAACAAAGGCAGGACAAACUGCAACAGCAGAAGCAAGGUACCUGGAAUCUGCCUUCCUCUUACUGGGCUUCAGAAACUCUUUUCUGUCAACUCUGCCUGUCAACCUGGCAGAGACCUUCCGCAAGGGCUGAUGUCGCUCAGGAGUAGCUGAAUGGCUUGCCCUCUGGUGUAGAAUUAGGUAAGCCCAAUGCGGACUCUCCUCCCUAAUGGAUACUGCAUGGUGGGAUAUUUUGGGCUCUCCAAACAGUAUUUGCCAAUGCCUUUAAGUUGCUUAAGAUGAUUUAACCAUUUAAGAUGCUUUAAGUUGGUUUACCCUCAUACCUACUUAUUCAGGGAAGACUUUGGGUUCUGAUCAGGCACUAUGCGAAACACAGGGAGAUGGCUUAUUCUAAAAGAACAUUUUUGCAAUGUAUUUUAUCCCUCAGACACUGACUCCUAUAAACCUAUGGCUGAUUCAUGCUGAUGUUUGGUAGAAACCAAUGCAAUAUAGUAAAGCAAUCAUCCUUCAAUUAAAACUCAUUGGAAAAGAUUCUGAUGCUGGGAAAGAUUGAAGGCAGAAGGAGAAGGGGACGACAGAGGAUAAGAUGGUUGGAUGGCAUCACUGACUCAAUGGACAUGGGUUUGGGCAAGCUCCGGGAGUUAGUGAUGGACAGGGAAGCCUGGCAUGCUGCAGUCCAUGUGGUCACAAAAAGUCAGACACAACUGAGUGACUGAACUAAUUAAAAUCCAAAAGAAAAAAAAAAAAAGGAAAACAAUGUACAGCAGAAAGUAACACAACAUUGUAAAGCAAUUAUACUCCAAUAAAAAAAGAAAAUCUUUCUCUGAAAUUAAAAAAAAUAAUAAACUGAUCCUCAUUGCAACGUGACAUGCAAGCAAAAGGUCAAGGGAUGGAAAAGAAGCUGAUAUAUUUUACUCAAUCAAGUUGCUUACAGUGUAAUGGGACUCUGACAGAGAAUAACAAAUGCUAUAGAAGGAUAUGCAUGUAAUUACUUUAUUCUUAAAAUAAAUUUACUAGGUGCCUACAUUUCCCAGGACAGAAGCAUGGCCAUGUCCCGUGGAGUCGGAGUUGUCAGCAGAGUGAUUUUGAAUGAGUAGGUGUUAGUGUUUAUACUUGAUAUAUUACAAUAAGAAAAGCAUCAUAAGAUGAGAAAGAAAAGAGACAAAAUCAUUUUAACAGCUUUAAAUGUUUACCACAAUGAGAGAAACUGUAUUGUGAAAGAUUUAAAUGUAUUAUGAAUAUUAUUGGUUUCAUACAUUGGCUUAGUUUUCUUUGAAGAGAAGAACUCAUCACAUCUGCAUUAAUAAUAUUGGAAGUUGUUACCCUCCAUGAACUUUUAUAUUAUAGAAAACAUUUUGGAAGUAAGUUAAUACAAUGAGAGCAAUUUGCAGCUGGUUAAUUAUUCAAUAAAUCUAAUCAACAAAUGUUUUUUGCAACCCAGUGUGUGUGUGUGUGUGUGUGUGUGUGUGUGUGUGUGUGUAUGCUGAUGCAGAAACUGAGUGAAAGUGUGAAGUGAGCCCUGAUCACAAUAAGAACCAAGUGUUGAUGAACAUUCUGGAGAAGGCAUGGCAACCCACUCCAGUAUUCUUGCCUGAAGAAUCCCCAUGGACAAGGAAGCCUGGCGGGCUACAGUGAGCAGGUUCUCAGAGUCAAACAUGACUGAGUGACUAAGCACAGCAUAUAUAUAUAUGGCGGCUUCCCCAGUGGCUGUCAGUAAAGAAUCUGCCUUCAGUUCAGGAGAUCCAGGUUCGACUCCUGAGUCAGGAAGAUUCCCUUCAGGAGGAAAUGGCAACCCACUCCAGCAUCUUUGUUGAGAAAAUCCCAUGGACAGAGGAUCCUGGUGGGCUAUAGCCUAUGGGGUUGCAAAGAGUCGGACAUGACUUAGCAUGCAUACAUGCAUAACUAGCAUGAGGCAACUUUGGUAACACAUUCUAUCACCUGUGUGAGCUAAGAAAUAUAACUCACAGCCAAUGCCACCUCAAAUUCUCAUUAUGAGAGGGAAUAAAGUCUUACUUAAGGUCCUCAUAUCUUUGACCCUUGAUUUCUUUGCUUUGCCAAGAGUGAUAUGAAGUGGUAUCUGAGUCCUGGGGAAAGCCUCAACCCUCAUCCUCAAACACUCCCACCCCCGAUCCUGUGUGCAGUCAACUCUUUGACCUCACCUCAGCUGCCAUGACCUUCAAGUAAAAGGAAAUAAGAAGAUGAAGAAAGCUUCCAACAUUGGCUUCAUGUUUUGCUGACACAACAAGGUGCCCUGGUGAAAUGAAAGGAACAAGAAUAAUGUCUGCAGGAGAAUAGGAUGUGGAAAUUGUGUUUGAACCUGGGCUGAGAAGGUGAAGGUAAAGAUGACACUCUUGUAAAAUCUGGUAGGGAUCUCACAAGCUCCCCCAGACUUAUCCUAAUGAAAUCAAGGAAGGUCUAGAGAUGGAUAUAUAUUUUUGAAAGAAAUGAAUAUAUUUUAAAAACUGCUCCAAAGUUGCUCUCCCAAGCAAAUUCAGACAAUGAGUCAUUUUAUGCUUGGUCUCCUCCCAAAUUUCAAUGAUCAACUUAACCAUUAAUUGAAUGAUUAAUGGUUUAGUCAUUUAAAUUUAAAUCAUUAAAUCAUGUGGUUUCUGAAAACUGACACUGACCUUCAUUGUGUCUGCCCUAAGUGACUGC
ensembl:lincRNA